rnacentral:rRNA from 1 species
GACGAACGCUGGCGGCGUGCCUAAUACAUGCAAGUCGAACGGAAAGGCCCGGCUUUUGUGGGGUGCUCGAGUGGCGAACGGGUGAGUAACACGCGAGUAACCCGUCCUUGACUUUGGGAUAACUUUAGGAAACUGGGGCUAAUACCGGAUAGGAGCUCUUGCAGCAUGGUGGGGGUUGGAAAGUUUCGGCUGUGCGGGAUGGACUCGCUGCUUAUCAGCUUGUUUGUGGGGUAGUGGCUUACCAAGGGUUUGACGGGUAGCCGGCCUGAGAGGGUGGACGGCGACAAUGGGCCUGAGAUACGGAGCAGACUGCUACGGGAGGCAGCAGUGGGGAAUCUUGCAGAAUGGGCGGACGCGUGAUGCAGCAACGCUGGGUGCGGGAUGACCGCCUUCGAGUUGUAAACAACUUUCGAAUGUGACGUAGCGUGAGUGACGGUAAUGGGUAAGGAAGCAACGGCUAACUACGUG